rnacentral:rRNA from 1 species
AACCAGCACCUCAAGUGGUCAGGAUGAUUAUUGGGCCUAAAGCAUCCGUAGCCUGUUUUGUAAGUCUCCGGUUAAAUCUAUAAACUCAAGUGAUAGGCUGCCGAGAAUACUGCAUAGCUAGGGAGUGGGAGAGGUAGACGGUACUCGGUAGGAAGGGGUAAAAUCCUUUGAUCUAUCGAUGACCACCUGUGGCGAAGGCGGUCUACCAGAACACGUUCGACGGUGAGGGAUGAAAGCUGGGGGAGCAAACCGG